GACGAACGCUGGCGGCGUGCUUAACACAUGCAAGUCGAACGGUGAAGGUGGAGCUUGCUCCGCCGGAUCAGUGGCGAACGGGUGAGUAACACGUGGGCAACCUGCCCCUCACUUCGGGAUAACUCCGGGAAACCGGGGCUAAUACCGGAUACGACCUCCUUGGGCAUCCUUGGAGGUGGAAAGGUUUUCGGUGAGGGAUGGGCCCGCGGCCUAUCAGCUUGUUGGUGAGGUAGUGGCUCACCAAGGCGACGACGGGUAGCCGGCCUGAGAGGGCGACCGGCCACACUGGGACUGAGACACGGCCCAGACUCCUACGGGAGGCAGCAGUGGGGAAUAUUGCGCAAUGGGCGAAAGCCUGACGCAGCAACGCCGCGUGCGGGAUGAAGGCCUUCGGGUUGUAAACCGCUUUCAGCAGGGAAGAAGCCGCAAGGUGACGGUACCUGCAGAAGAAGCACCGGCUAACUACGUGCCAGCAGCCGCGGUAACAC
rnacentral:rRNA from 1 species